AAAAUGACUGUCGGCAAUGGAUAUCUCGGCUCUCGCAUCGAUGAAGAGCGCAGCGAAAUGCGAUACGUGGUGCGAAUUGCAGAAUCCCGCGAACCAUCGAGUCUUUGAACGCAAGUUGCGCCCGAGGCCAACCGGCCAAGGGCACGUCUGCCUGGGCGUCAAGC
rnacentral:rRNA from 1 species